AAUUGGAUUACGCGGCAAUAAGUGCCCUGCCUUGGCUGCCUUGCAUACGUAGUAGGGGCGGUCCUCGGAUGUUUUCUGCGCAGCGAAGGCUGUCGGCGCGUGCGUUUGCAAUGGCGGGAGAUUUGAAGCUUGUUGAUACGGUUCGGUUGAGCGGAGUGUUCGGGUAUGUGUUGUAAAUGAAGGUCGAUGGCGGUGCUGUUUGUUAGACUCGAUGCUGAGUACUAGCGCAAUGUUUAGUGAGUACAAGCGGGGUGUGCCAAUGUACAGGUCAUCGAGUGACAUUGUCUUGGUAGCCGCAAGACUGUGCUUUGUGAGCUCUAUUGCAUACUGAUGUUGUCCAAGCUGGCAGCGACAGUAUCUUGCUGUCACCAUUGAUCGUAACACAACUGUCGAGAAUUGUGUUCAUAGCUCGGCGUCUUCAGCACUGAGGCAGGUAUGAAUAUCAGCAACUCCGGAUAACACAAGGGUGUAUGCAUGCUUUUUUUUUUUUUUUUUUCUU